rnacentral:rRNA from 1 species
GACGAACGCUGGCGGCGUGCUUAACACAUGCAAGUCGAACGGAAAGGCCCUGCUUUUGCGGGGUUCUCGAGUGGCGAACGGGUGAGUAACACGUGAGUAACCUGCCCUUGUCUUUGGGAUAUCUUCAGGAAACUGGGGCUAAUACCGGAUAGGAGCUCCUGCUGCAUGGUGGGGGUUGGAAAGUUUCGGCGGUUGGGGAUGGUCUGGCUGCUUAUCCGCUUGUUGGUGGGGUAGUGGAUGACCAAGGGUUUGACGGGUAGCCGGCCUGAGAGGGUGAACGGCCACAAGGGGCCUGAGAGAGGGCCCAGACGCCAACGGGAGGCAGCAGUGGGGAAUAUUGCACAAUGGGCGGAAGCGUGAUGUAGCAACGCCGCGAUCGGGAUGAUGUCCUUCUGGUGGAAAACCGCUUUCGCAGGUGACGAAGCGGGAGUGACGGUAAUGGGUAAAGAAGCACCGGCUAACUACGUG